UUAGUUACUGGUUUAAAACCACAACAGUUAGUCCCUCCCAGUGAUGCCACUCCUGGGAUCCCCAGCUCUCUCUGUGUUCACCCCUCCUGGAUCUCCCCAGAGGAGCCCCAAGGUAUGGGAGUCCCCAGCCAGGGUCCCCAGCCAGCCCCAAUUUGGAUCUGCAGCCCCCAGUUUUCACAGUUUCCCUUUCCUUUUCCCCAGGUAGGGUUCCCCCCACCCCCACUGGGUGGGAGCAGCCAAGAGCCCCGCGCUGCCCAUCCUAACCUGUCCCGGAGGGAUGAAGAGGAGGGAUGAAGAAGCUCGAUAAAGGAUGGAAAUGUAGCUGAGACUGGUGCCUGAAUAAAGCUCAUGACACGUCA